AUAUAUAACACCUGUUUUUUAUUUUCACUUUUGAUGAACCUGCAAAAAGUUCUGCUGCCAAGUUUUAAAUAUUUUUUUAUUAAUUUCAAUCAAUUUUUUAUUGAUCAUGUAUCUUUAAAUUAAAAAAAUAUUAUAUUCAAACAUCAAAAAAUUUCAUGAACCAUACCAUGGAUGAGUUCAGCUCGCCUGUAUACUAGCUGAAUGCGUCUUAUAAUGCAUUGAAUCCCGCAAAUAUUAUGACAAAUGAUGGGGCUAUAAAGAACAUAAUUGAUUAUAGGCUUAUGACACCACAUUGCUGGCCUCAUUCAUUCCUAAUUUUAAUUUUUUUUAACUAUACGAUUUUAGGUAAGUGCGAGCAGGAAAAAGGUAUGACGAUUCCAAUGAAUGAAGAAAAUUGACAGAACCCGAUACCCGAUAGUAAAAAAUACUAGACUGAGUUGGGUAAAAAAAUGCCAUUUGAUAAAAUACCACCAGGGCCGAUAUAUCACUGGACAAACUUGCAUUUAAAAGUAAAAUUUUGCUCAUUCAUUGGAGUUGACGAAAAAACGGAUGGAAAAGCGAGACUUAAGUGUAUACGAACUAUUUUUUUACCAUUUAAAGUGAGAUCGAAGUUUUCCGAGUUGAAAUCGGAAGGUGGAUGUGCUCUGUGGAAACCGGAGUUUCACUUUUUUCAAAAAUCACAACGGUUUUUCAAGGAUGGACUGCGUGGAAUGAGGGUCGCAUAAGCUAGUCCGUUGAAGUCCGUAAAUUUUAACGGCGGACUAACUGGGAAAUUUUGGAACGCCAAAACCCUAUGGACCAUCCCUUCAAAGGAUGGUGGAAGGUGGAUGGAUCUCUGUGGAAAUAGCCUAUAAAUCAGCUUUUGUUGUUGUUUAGCGAGCGGAUGGUGCCUGCAUACCCUACCGACGAUUGAUUUUAAGGAGAGCGGGUAGAAACAAAAACAUCUGCUGGCUUUUGUUUUGUAUACACUUUUUAGGGCACUUGUUUUGAAUGUUAUGUUUAGUGAUCUUUGGUUGAGUGAUUUGGUUAGUGAUUUGGAGUGUAAUUUUAGUUGUCUUUAACAAUUUUAACUGUCUUUAAAAAAUUCGUUAUAAUCCAAGAUAAUGGUACAAUUAAAAUUAUUAUCAUUUAAAAAAAUAUUUAAACAAAAUAUGAGGAUGUUUGCAUUUGUUCCAUUUACCUUCACAAAAAUAUAAAAAAGUAUUUCAUUAUUUAUUUCUUGCAUUGCCAAAAAUCAGCAUCCCUCAUAGAAAUAGCAAAGGAAAAAGACAACAAGUUACACUGCCAAUCAUAAAAACAGAUAUCAACCAUAGAUCAUUAAACAAAACAUUCAAAACAAGUGCUCCAAGAAGUGUAAACAAAACAAAAGCCAAGCAGCUGUUUUUGUUUCUGCCCGCUCCCCUAAAAAACAAUCGUAGGUAGGUAGGGUAUGCAAGCAACAUCUGCUCGCAAAACAACAACAAAAGCUGAUUUUGUUUGAAGUUUUCUCAACCACUCAAGAGCAGUCGGUGUUUAAAGUGGCACGACUGCGAUAUGCCCUGUUCCCAUCUCAGCAGACUGAUUUCUAUUAAUUCGAAAACAUACAUGUAUGCAAAACAUUUUACUGCUACCACUGAUAGGAACUUGUAAACAAAAAUAAGAUGCAUGUUGAAAUAUUACAAAAUAUAUUAUAACAUAACGGAGAA